rnacentral:rRNA from 1 species
UACGUAGGGUGCAAGCGUUGUCCGGAAUUAUUGGGCGUAAAGGGCUCGUAGGCGGUCCAUCGCGUCGGGAGUGAAAAGCUGGGGCUUAACCCCAGUCCUGCUUCCGAUACGGGUGGACUAGAGGUAGGCAGGGGAGAACGGAAUUCCUGGUGUAGCGGUGGAAUGCGCAGAUAUCAGGAGGAACACCAAUAGCGAAGGCAGCUCGCUGGGACGGUACUGACGCUAAGGCGCGAAAGCGUGGGGAGCGAACAGG